ensembl:lncRNA
AAUUUGAACUUCAAACGAGAACUUUGUACUAAAAAGAGCCUGUGUGUGUACAUCUACAACAAGACACUGAUGCUGCUUUCAACACGCAGCGCUCAUGUAUAUCUGAAGACCACCUUCCCAGAGAAUGAGAGCGCUCUCUAGUGGUCACAACUAACUAAAGAACUACACUACAGCACUUUUGACAAGGGCUUGACUGGACUGAUUACGCGGUCACCACACCCCGAACCCUUUCCUUCACAUGAUGCCUCGGGCUACAACGCCACACCCCACGAAAGUGCUCCCCCUCCUGAGUGGGACGGUCUCUGUGCAGGUGGGACAGUCACAGGUCAAUCAUGAAAACUUUGGUCAUCUGGGACAUUAAGAGAGUGUUGGAACCGGAGCCCAGAGGUCUGAUGUCGGAGUGAGAAGCUAUUGUUCAGCGCUACACACAAUCUGACCAAUCUGACCCUGCUUGCUGCUCAAAACACAACUGCUCCGUUUCUUUAUCAUUUACAUCUGGAGCACAAACAGUCCAGGAUGAAUUACACAUUGAACUUUAAUAAUAGAAGUUUUCACAAACUCCGGAGAUUUUGAGAUUUGCAUGUGUCGUAUCUUCAACUUUAUGCACAAUAACCUUCAAAGCAUGCAGGAAAACACAGACUCUUGUAUUCCAACAUUCUUCUUGAGUCUAAAUCCAGUUUUCCAUGAUGCAACUCUCACACAAACACACACACUCUCUCAAUGUGUUUUUAAUCUCAAAUCCCAAAGCGUGCAAAAUGUACACAAUCCCUUGCAGAUCCUUUUCUAAAGGGCAGAAACGGAGACGAGAAACAAGAGCCAUGUUCUCUGGUGCCCUGGGCCGAACGGAUGGAGAACGUGAAGGAAAAUACAGAAGAACAUUCACAAAGAGACAAUCGAUGAUGCAUUUUGUUUGUAUGAGGGUUUAUUACAACACAUUGUUCCUAAAACUGGCCUGGAAAAUUGUUUGGCUGAACAGCAAAGUAAGAC